rnacentral:rRNA from 1 species
GACGAACGCUGGCGGCGUGCUUAACACAUGCAAGUCGAACGGAAAGGCCCUGCUUUUGUGGGGUGCUCGAGUGGCGAAAGGGUGCGUAACACGUGAGUAACCUGCCCUUGACUUUGGGAUAACUUCAGGAAACUGGGGCUAAUACCGGAUAGGAGCUCCUGCUGCAUGGUGGGGGUUGGAAAGUUUCGGCGGUUGGGGAUGGACUCGCGGCUUAUCAGCUUGUUGGUGGGGUAGUGGCUUACCAAGGCUUUGACGGGUAGCCGGCCUGAGAGGGUGACCGGCCACAUUGGGACUGAGAUAAGGCGCAGACUCCUACGGGAGGAAGCAGUGGGGAUUGUUGCACAAUGGGCGGAAGCCUGAGGCAGCAACGCCGCGUGCGGGAUGACGGCCUUCGGGUUGUAAACCGCUUUCGCAUGUGACGAAGCGUGAGUGACGGUAAUGGGUAAAGAAGCACCGGCUAACUACGUG